UGGGAGAGGCACAAACUGGGAGGAGCCAAAAGGGGGCGGGGUUUGGUGACAAGGAGGCGGUGAUGCGAUGAGGGGGCGGGGAGAGGGAGCCGAAGGGGUGGGGCGAGCCCUGGAGCGUAAGUGAGGUGGGAGCGCGAAGAUGGCAGCGGCUGAGGAGGAGCCAAAGCCCAAAAAGCUGAAGGUGGAGGCGCCUCCAGCGCUGAGUGAAAAUAUUCUCUUUGGAAUGGGAAAUCCUCUUCUUGACAUCACUGCUGUAGUGGAUAAGGAUUUCCUUGAUAAGUAUUCUCUUAAACCUAAUGACCAGAUUUUGGCUGAAGAGAAACAUAAGGAACUGU